CCUAAAUUCUCUGAAGACAGUCACUUGCCUAAAAUCCCAAUAUUAAAAUAUCCCCUUCUGUGAUUUCUGAUAUUCAAGGUAGCCACAAUCCUGGAUCGCUCCCGGAUCUCUCAACCUUAAUUCUUGACCAUCGCUCAUACACCAGGAGACAUUGCAGCUUCCUAUUCUGUCCCCCAAAAACCUCACCCCAACAUAUCAGUAAUUGGAAAGGAACAGAAUGAUGUCUGCACUUGCGAAAGCC